rnacentral:rRNA from 1 species
AUUGAACGCUGGCGGCAGGCCUAACACAUGCAAGUCGAGCGGAUGAAGGGAGCUUGCUCCUGGAUUCAGCGGCGGACGGGUGAGUAAUGCCUAGGAAUCUGCCUGGUAGUGGGGGAUAACGUCCGGAAACGGGCGCUAAUACCGCAUACGUCCUGAGGGAGAAAGUGGGGGAUCUUCGGACCUCACGCUAUCAGAUGAGCCUAGGUCGGAUUAGCUAGUUGGUGGGGUAAAGGCCUACCAAGGCGACGAUCCGUAACUGGUCUGAGAGGAUGAUCAGUCACACUGGAACUGAGACACGGUCCAGACUCCUACGGGAGGCAGCAGUGGGGAAUAUUGGACAAUGGGCGAAAGCCUGAUCCAGCCAUGCCGCGUGUGUGAAGAAGGUCUUCGGAUUGUAAAGCACUUUAAGUUGGGGGAAGGGCAGUAAGUUAAUACCUUGCUGUUUUGACGUUACCAACAGAAUAAGCACCGGCUAACUUCGUG